UGUUUAAAGUUUCUAAAAUUUUAUUGGUUUCAUUGAAAUUGAAAACAUAAGCGUUGAUUACUAUAAUUCUAGCUAUAGGUUGUGGGUAACCAUUACCACCUUAUUUAACAAACUUCUCAACUUAACCAAAAUUUACGAAUAGCAGCGAAAAGACUUUUUUUUCAAAAGUAGGCUCGGUUGUGGUCUUUAUCUUUAGCUUGUAGGUUAUACUUGGUGCAAAAAGCCUAAUUCAGGUUGGGGGGGGGGCACACGCCCCUUCCACAAGUUAAUAAGCACACCACCAUUAAAUGAAUUUCUUGAAGC